GAAAUGCGAUAAGUAGUGUGAAUUGCAGAAUUCCGUGAAUCAUCGAAUCUUUGAACGCACCUUGCGCUCUCCGGUACUCCGGGGAGCAUACCUGUUUGAGUGUCAGUAAAACAUACUCACAUCCCUAAUUUGAGAGAGUUGGGAUAUGUGGAUUUGGGUUCCACUGGGUCCUUUUUGGAUUUGCAGUGUUAUCUGAAAUAUAUUAACUGACCUGGCUGGAUAAAAUGCCGUUUGUGGUCAAAGGUGCUGUAAGUCAGGCCUGGUUCUGGUCAGACAUUAUUACGCCGAUAGACUCAACAAACAAUGUGCAUUUAAUCUGUAAGUUCCGUGGAUCAGUUCCAUCAAGAUUACUUACGUAAUCUAUUUCCGAGAACUUGACCUCAAAUCAGGUAAGAUUACCCGCUGAACUUAA
rnacentral:misc_RNA from 1 species